rnacentral:lncRNA from 1 species
CCAGUUUUAUUAAGCAGAAAAAAGGGCUUUAGAGCAAUACUAAUACUGAAGUUGGUGUCUAAAAGGAACUUGAGAACUUGAAUAUCAUGAAAAACCAGGUACAGUGCGGCCUACAGAUUGCAAGGGAGAAAACACGAUAAUUUAAUUGGUAAAGACAGUUUCAGGAGGGAAGAUCAUCACCGACUAUGAGGAAGCUCCAAGAAUUCUCUAGAAAAUAGGCAAUGAUUCCUUUCUAAUCAAAUUUCUUAAUCCUUAAGCAUGCCUAGAAAAACCUAGAAGAAUCGAUAC